UGGGGAAUAUUGCACAAUGGGGGAAACCCUGAUGCAGCGACGCCGCGUGAGCGAAGAAGGCUUUCGAGUCGUAAAGCUCUGUCCUAUGAGAAGAUAAUGACGGUAUCAUAGGAGGAAGCCCUGGCUAAAUACGUGCCAGCAGCCGCGGUAAUACGUAUGGGGCGAGCGUUGUCCGGAAUUAUUGGGCGUAAAGGGUACGUAGGUGGUUUUUUAAGUCAGGCGUCAAAGCGUGGAGCUUAACUCCAUUAAGCACUUGAAACUGAAAGACUUGAGUGAAGGAGAGGAAAGUGGAAUUCCUAGUGUAGCGGUGAAAUGCGUAGAUAUUAGGAGGAAUACCGGUGGCGAAGGCGACUUUCUGGACUUUUACUGACGCUCAGGUACGAAAGCGUGGGGAGCAAACAGG
rnacentral:rRNA from 1 species